rnacentral:tRNA from 1 species
GCCCCUAUAGUUUAAUGGAUAAAACAUAAGCUUCCGGAGCUUGCGAUGGGGGUUCGAUUCCCUCUAGGGGCG